UGAAAAGAUAUGCUGCCUUAUUAACGCAAAUGAAUAAGUAGUGCACUACACAUACACAACAUCAAAACAAGGAAAGUCCAAUGAAGGAACUGUACUCUAAUGGCUUGUGCAUGCGCUCUAAUCUUUCUCAGUAUUAGUUUCUUCUCUUCUCUUUCUUCAAAUCAAGGUAUAACGAAAUCGACGGAAGCAUUAGUACAAGCGCUGCUUGCUGAAGACACAAGGGAUGCUCCCAUGUCAGUAAUAGAAAUACAGAAUAAUCAAAUGAAAGUAUGAAACUAGUUAUUGUCUGAAUGAAGUAAAUAAGAAAACAACAUUUGUACAGCAGAAGACAGAAGAAAAUUGUACUGGUAAGAAAGCUAGAGGAUUCAUGACACUGAUAAAUUCUUGGUUAUUCUGCAGCAACAACAUUGCCACAGAAACACACAACAUUUACUCAACUAUCACCUAAGACAAAGUACUGCCUCUUUUUUUCUAGCCACUGACGCAAUCAGGCAGGGUGGUUCCAACCAACACCAUUUGUAAAAGGAAGGAUAAUGUUGGUUCUCCAUUGAAACAAACUGGAAUUCGAGUCACCACAAUCCAAUCAAAAUUGUAUAUGAACUAGUACACACAAUCAGCUACUUAAAAGCUAAAGCUGUACUCCAAUACGAAAACGAACCGAAGUUCCACUUCUUCCACAUCACCAUGAUGACCCCUAAUCAGUUUCCCAUAUAUAACUAUGAAAUAAAACCCUAACUGCACCACUAUCCUAAAUGUGAUAACAACCAGAACAAGUAAGCUGUAACUCUUAUCUUUCUGGAGUGUUUAAGAUCUCUUUUCCUUUCUCUCCUACAUGUUCCUAAAAAAAAAGAUCAAAGAACGCACAACAUACUGAGGCGAUGUUAGAAACCUCACUCCAAAGUCAUCAUGCAAUGCAAAAGUACAUUUAACAAAAUUUGCAACAAACAAAAUGUAAACUAAAACACUUCCCAUAAAUGAAGAAAAAUCCAAAAACCACCAACUUCCUCAUCCUCUGGCCAUUAAUCACUCCAUCCUCAACACACAACAAAAACCUUAUCCAAAAACCAACACUAUUUCAAUAAUUUCAUAGAUUAUAAUAAGAGUCACAAUACAUAACUCCAUUGUUUCCUCAAUACACAUAAACUAAAACUAAAUCCUAAGCAACGAAUUUCAAAAACAGCAUGCAAAAACCACUCUCAUAAACCCUAAAUCUGCCAUAAAUAGAAACAUCAACAGCAAUCAGUGUAUCCAGUUCACAAAAACUUCAAAAACAAACAUAUAGAUUAACAUAAACUUAACAAAGCACAGAUAAACUCAACAACAGUAUUUACGAGCAUGAGAAAGAACAGAAAAGUACUCUCCAGCGUUUCAGUCGAUUAAUAGAAGCGUGCUUUGUUCUAGCAAUAUCAAGGAUCGGAAAAAUCACCGUCAUCAUCAA
rnacentral:lncRNA from 1 species